ACACAUUCCUGAUACCGGGGCCUCGUUCAUCACCGAGGAUGAGCCUCCAAGGCGAGACGCGGGCGUUGCACUGCGCUCGCGUUGACCCCUGCCACUGCCCCAAGCUGGUUAAAUCGGGUUCAACGC
rnacentral:snRNA from 1 species